UUUUCCUCACAACUUUUAACUUCGUUGUUUUGGCUGGUUUGGUUUCUGUGUGCUCAACUUGUGCUCGGUACUUUUCUCCUUUCUGACUUUGUUUUUAUUUUUAUUCUCUCUCUCUCUCUCUCUCCCCCUCUCCUCCUUUUCCUCCUCCUCCUCUCUUCUCUCUUACCUCCCUCCCUCUCUCUCUCAUCUUUAUCCCUUCCCCUCUUUUCUGUUCGCCCUCUUCUCCCUGCUCUUUUUCCCUUUCCACCCCCCUCCUCUGUUCUCCCUCACCUCCUGCGCCCCCUCCCCCUUCCCGGGUUCUGACAGUACGAUGAGCUGCCCCAUUACGGCGGGAUGGACGGAGUAGGGGUUCCCGCUUCCAUGUACGGAGACCCUCACGCGCCACGGCCGAUUCCCCCGGUUCACCACCUGAACCACGGGCCGCCACUCCACGCCACACAGCACUACGGCGCGCACGCCCCACACCCCAAUGUCAUGCCGGCCAGUAUGGGAUCCGCUGUCAACGACGCCUUGAAGCGGGACAAGGACGCGAUCUAUGGGCACCCGUUGUUUCCUCUGUUAGCUCUGGUCUUUGAGAAGUGCGAGCUGGCGACCUGCACUCCCCGGGAACCUGGAGUGGCUGGUGGAGACGUCUGCUCCUCCGACUCCUUCAACGAGGACAUCGCGGUCUUCGCCAAGCAGGUUCGCGCCGAAAAGCCACUUUUUUCCUCAAAUCCAGAGCUGGACAAUUUGAUGAUACAAGCAAUACAAGUACUAAGGUUUCAUCUUUUGGAGUUAGAAAAGGUCCACGAACUGUGCGAUAACUUCUGCCACCGAUACAUUAGCUGUUUGAAGGGGAAAAUGCCCAUCGACCUCGUCAUUGAUGAAAGAGACGGCAGCUCCAAGUCAGAUCAUGAAGAACUUUCAGGCUCCUCCACUAAUCUCGCUGACCAUAACCCUUCUUCUUGGCGAGACCACGAUGAUGCAACCUCAACCCACUCAGCAGGCACCCCAGGGCCCUCCAGUGGGGGCCAUGCUUCCCAGAGCGGAGACAACAGCAGUGAGCAAGGGGAUGGUUUAGACAACAGUGUAGCUUCACCUGGUACAGGUGACGAUGAUGAUCCGGAUAAGGACAAAAAACGCCAGAAGAAAAGAGGCAUUUUCCCCAAAGUAGCAACAAAUAUCAUGAGAGCAUGGCUCUUCCAGCAUCUCACAGUAAGUCAAGAUGAAAGAGAAAAAAAAAAUAGUUUUUGUUGUUUUGCUAGCAAGUUAUACGGUCUCACUAAGGUGCCUAUUUUCUUAUUCUUGAAAUCUGAUGACUAAUAGAGUAGUUAAGUUUUUUUUUUAAUCAACUAUUACCAUCCAAAGAGCACCCUCUAGAAAGUAGCAGGUUUUUUGUUUUAAGAAGCUGGGAAUGGACUUUAUUUAAAAUGAUCUAAGACCCUAAACAGCAUAUAUAAGUAAAUUUGUUAUUUAUGCUAAAAGUAUGAGAGCAACUUCAGAUAAUGCAACAGCAACCAAGGGAAAUGGCUGUAAGGAGCUCACAAAUCCAUAAACAUUGCUGAUUACACUGUUAACGAAAGCCGUCUCCUCUAGGAGGCAAAAACAAAACAAAACAAAAAAAA
rnacentral:sRNA from 1 species